GUGUGUCACGUCUGCCGUGAAAACCUGCGGCUUAACCGUGGGCGUGCGGUGGAUACGGGCAUCACUUGAGUUCGGUAGGGGAGACUGGAAUUCCUGGUGUAGCGGUGGAAUGCGCAGAUAUCAGGAGGAACACCGGUGGCGAAGGCGGGUCUCUGGGCCGAUACUGACGCUGAGGAGCGAAAGCGUGGGGAGCGAACAGGAUUAGAUACCCUGGUAGUCCACGCCGUAAACGUUGGGCGCUAGGUGUGGGGCGCUGUUCACGUGUCCCGUGCCGUAGCUAACGCAUUAAGCGCCCCGCC
rnacentral:rRNA from 1 species